CUCAGGAAGAGACAUCAACCCAUGGCACCCUGACGCCAACCCUCCAAUGACUGCAUUUCACUCAAAGUCAAAAAAGCCAGUCCUCAAAAUGCUGACAAGGCCCUAAUGCUUCUGAUGCCUCAUGUCACCUCGGAUCCCAUUGCCUGUCACCUCCUCUGGGACUUCCCUCCAGCCACACUUGUCCGCUUGCUAAUCUACACCAGGCAACCUCGCCUGUAAGAUCACCAGCAUCUGGGUUCACCAGGGACUGACAAAUUGUCUAGGAUGCAAAGACCUUUGGUGCUAAAUACCAGCCUCCCACUACUACCGCACUGAUGGCACCCGACACCAGACGUGUGCGGCCUUUGCCCCAUCAAGCGAUUCUCUGCCAUGCCAGCUGUGUGUCCUACAAUUUAACUCAAAUCUGACACUAGCUGAAUGGAGACAGCAUCACAUCCCACAGGUCAAGACUCCCAGACUUCCCCCUCCCCCUCCUGCAGACACCAGCUGCAAGUCCAGCUGGUCACCUGUGCCCUGGCCAACCAGCUGCAGAUCUGAGGUGCCCACGAACCCCUCCCUCCCUCAGGUUUGAUUAAUUUACUAGAGUGCUUCACAGAACUCAGGAAAACAGUUUACCUCCCACAUGAUCAGUGUUUUCAUGAAAGGCUACAACUCAAGAAACGGAUGAGAUGAAGAAGACAGGGUAUGUGGGAAGGGUGGGGAGCCAUGCUUUCUCCAGGCACACCCCUCUCCCUGCACCUCCACGUGUUCACUGGCCCGAAAGUUCCCAAACCUCUUACACUUGAGACUUUUCUGGAGGCUUCACCAUGUAGUCAUAUCACCCAUUAACUCAACUUGCAGCCUCUGUAUGGAGAGCCAGGAGUAGGGCUGCAAAUUCUAAGCUUCUCAUCGUGGUUUGGUGUUUCUGACAACAGUCCGCAUCCAGUCACUGGAAUGUCUCUUGGUAACCAAGAGACAUUCCAAGAGACAUUCCAAUCACCCAGGAAACUCCAUGGGAUUCAGGGACUCGGUGCCGGAAUCAGGGAUAGACAUCAAUGUACAUAUUAUCUGUUAUUUCAUCAAACCCCAAGAGAGUUAGAGGUGGGGGCACAGAAAUAAAAUGUCCUGCAAGGAGAGUGUCAUGUGCUAAGAGACAUAAUCCCUCCUUGGCAAGGCUCUUGGGAGGAGAGUCUGAGAUAACAGCCUUGAAGCACACUGCCUAAUGCCUGGCAAGGUACUCAGUGCCUGGUAGCCACCAUCUUCCACGUCCUCAUCAACAUCAAGACCCUGGAGAAGGUGAGAGGGAACGGAAUCAGGAAGACAGAAGGAGGGGUAACUUCAAAAAAUAAAGGGACACCUUCUCUCAAACUGGAGGGAAGCACAUAUGGAGGUUUUUCUACGUAGAAAAGAUCACAAGAGAAUAAGCAACAAUCACUGACAUCUAUUAUGGCCGCCAGCACAGUGCAAGAUAAUUAUAAGUGUUUUCUCAUGUACUCCUUAAAAUAGUUCUUCAAAGGUACAUGAAGCAAGCAUUAGGAUUUCCUUUGUUUCAGGUGAAGAAAUGACUCAGAGCCUAAGCUCUUUUCCAAAGUCAUAAAGUUAUUUAUUAACAGAAUCAAGACCAGAACCCAGGUUCAUUUAACUAAAAAAAAAAAAAAAGAAGAACAAAAUCUCAUGUUCUUUCUAACACAGCUGGCAGAUUA